AACGCACAUUGCGCCCCUUGGUAUUCCGAGGGGCAUGCCUGUCCGAGCGUCAUUUCAACCAUCAAGCUCCGCUUGGUAUUGGGCUCUCGUCCGUCCGGACAAGCCUGUAAAUCAGUGGCGGUUCCCCGUGGGUUCCAGCGUUGUAAAACUCGCGCAGUGGAUCUUCUUGGGUGCGACCAGCCAGAACAACCCAACUUUUACUCGGUUGACCUCGGAUCAGGUAGGGAUACCCGCUGAACUUAA
rnacentral:misc_RNA from 1 species